GUAAUGUCUGGGAAACUGCCUGAUGGAGGGGGAUAACUACUGGAAACGGUGGCUAAUACCGCAUAACGUCGCAAGACCAAAGAGGGGGACCUUCGGGCCUCUUGCCAUCAGAUGUGCCCAGAUGGGAUUAGCUUGUUGGUGAGGUAACGGCUCACCAAGGCGACGAUCCCUAGCUGGUCUGAGAGGAUGACCAGCCACACUGGAACUGAGACACGGUCCAGACUCCUACGGGAGGCAGCAGUGGGGAAUAUUGCACAAUGGGCGCAAGCCUGAUGCAGCCAUGCCGCGUGUAUGAAGAAGGCCUUCGGGUUGUAAAGUACUUUCAGCGGGGAGGAAGGUGUUGUGGUUAAUAACCGCAGCAAUUGACGUUACCCGCAGAAGAAGCACCGGCUAACUCCGUGCCAGCAGCCGCGGUAAUACGGAGGGUGCAAGCGUUAAUCGGAAUUACUGGGCGUAAAGCGCACGCAGGCGGUCUGUCAAGUCGGAUGUGAAAUCCCCGGGCUCAACCUGGGAACUGCAUUCGAAACUGGCAGGCUUGAGUCUUGUAGAGGGGGGUAGAAUUCCAGGUGUAGCGGUGAAAUGCGUAGAGAUCUGGAGGAAU
rnacentral:rRNA from 1 species